CCCAGACUCUACGGGAGGCAGCAGUGAGGAAUAUUGGUCAAUGGGCUUACGCCUGAACCAGCCAAGUCGCGUGAGGGAAGACUGCCCUAUGGGUUGUAAACCUCUUUUGUCAGGGAGCAACGCCGGCUACGUGUAGCCGGACUGAGAGUACCUGAAGAAAAAGCAUCGGCUAACUCCGUGCCAGCAGCCGCGGUAAUACGGAGGAUGCGAGCGUUAUCCGGAUUUAUUGGGUUUAAAGGGUGCGUAGGCGGACGCCUAAGUCAGCGGUAAAAUUGGGGGGCUCAACCUCGGCGAGCCGUUGAAACUGGUGAUCUUGAGUGGGCGAGAAGUAUGCGGAAUGUGUGGUGUAGCGGUGAAAUGCAUAGAUAUCACGCAGAACUCCGAUUGCGAAGGCAGCAUACCGGCGCCCGACUGACGCUGAGGCACGAAAGCGUGGGGAUCGAACAGGAUUAGAUACCCUAAGUAU
rnacentral:rRNA from 1 species